rnacentral:rRNA from 1 species
GACGAACGCUGGCGGCGUGCUUAACACAUGCCAGUCGAACGGAAAGGCCCUGCUUUUGUGGGGUGCUCGAGUGGCGAACGGGUGAGUAACACGUGAGUAACCUGCCCUUGACUUUGGGAUAACUUCAGGAAACUGGGGCUAAUACCGGAUAGGAGCUCCUGCUGCAUGGUGGGGGUUGGAAAGUUUCGGCGGUUGGGGAUGGACUCGCGGCUUAUCAGCUUGUUGGUGGGGUAGUGGCUUACCAAGGCUUUGACGGGUAGCCGGCCUGAGAGGGUGACCGGCCACAUUGGGACUGAGAUACGGCCCAGACUCCUACGGGAGGCAGCAGUGGGGAAUAUUGCACAAUGGGCGGAAGCCUGAUGCAGCUACGCCGCGUGCGGGAUGACGGCCUUCGGGUUGUAAACCGCUUUCGCCUGUGACGAAGCGUGAGUGACGGUAAUGGGUAAAGAAGCACCGGCUAACUACGUG